GAUGAACGCUGGCGGCGUGCCUAAUACAUGCAAGUCGAGCGAACAGACGAGGAGCUUGCUCCUCUGACGUUAGCGGCGGACGGGUGAGUAACACGUGGAUAACCUACCUAUAAGACUGGGAUAACUUCGGGAAACCGGAGCUAAUACCGGAUAAUAUAUUGAACCGCAUGGUUCAAUAGUGAAAGACGGUUCUGCUGUCACUUAUAGAUGGAUCCGCGCCGCAUUAGCUAGUUGGUAAGGUAACGGCUUACCAAGGCAACGAUGCGUAGCCGACCUGAGAGGGUGAUCGGCCACCCUGGAACUGAGACACGGUCCAGACUCCUACGGGAGGCAGCAGUAGGGAAUCUUCCGCAAUGGGCGAAAGCCUGACGGAGCAACGCCGCGUGAGUGAUGAAGGUCUUCGGAUCGUAAAACUCUGUUAUUAGGGAAGAACAAAUGUGUAAGUAACUAUGCACGUCUUGACGGUACCUAAUCAGAAAGCCACGGCUAACUACGUG
rnacentral:rRNA from 1 species